AUUGAACGCUGGCGGCAGGCCUAACACAUGCAAGUCGAACGGUAACAGGAAGAAGCUUGCUUCUUUGCUGACGAGUGGCGGACGGGUGAGUAAUGUCUGGGAAACUGCCUGAUGGAGGGGGAUAACUACUGGAAACGGUAGCUAAUACCGCAUAACGUCGCAAGACCAAAGAGGGGGGACCUUCGGGCCUCUUGCCAUCGGAUGUGCCCAGAUGGGAUUAGCUAGUAGGUGGGGUAACGGCUCACCUAGGCGACGAUCCCUAGCUGGUCUGAGAGGAUGACCAGCCACACUGGAACUGAGACACGGUCCAGACUCCUACGGGAGGCAGCAGUGGGGAAUAUUGCACAAUGGGCGCAAGCCUGAUGCAGCCAUGCCGCGUGUAUGAAGAAGGCCU
rnacentral:rRNA from 1 species